rnacentral:rRNA from 1 species
AGAGUUUGAUCCUGGCUCAGAAUGAACGUUGGCGGCGUGGAUUAGGCAUGCAAGUCGUACGGGCCGCAAGGCCAGUGGCGCAAGGGUGAGUAAGGCGACGGUAACCAACCCCAUGAAUGGGCAUAGCCGUGGGAAACUGCGGGUAAUUCCCAGCGAUGUCUGCGGAGGGCAUCUUCUGCAGACCAAAGCUCCGGCGUCGU